AACGAACGCUGGCGGCAUGCUUAACACAUGCAAGUCGAACGAUGACGAACUAGCUUGCUCGGUCUGAUUAGUGGCGAACGGGUGAGUAACACGUGAGCAACCUGCCCUUCACUCUGGUAUAGCCUCGGGAAAUCGGAGCUAAUACCGGAUAUGAGCUCCUGUCGCAUGGCGGGUGUGGGAAAGUUUUUCGUUGAAGGAUGGGCUCGCGGCCUAUCAGUUUGUUGGUUAGGUAGUGGCUCACCAAGGCGAUGACGGGUAGCCGGCCUGAGAGGGCGAACGGCAACACGGGGACUGGGACACGGCCCAGAAUCAUACGGGAGGCAGCAGUGGGGAAUAUUGCACAAUGGGAGAAAGCCUGAUGAAGAGACGCCGCGUGAGGGAUGACGGCUUUCGGGUUGUAAAACUCUUUCGGCAGGGAAGAAGCGAAAGUGACGGUACCUGAAGAAGAAGCGCCGGCUAACUACGUG
rnacentral:rRNA from 1 species